rnacentral:rRNA from 1 species
UUCCGGUUGAUCCCGCCGGACCCGACUGCUAUCAGAGUGGGACUAAGCCAUGCGAGUCAACGUAGAAAUACGUGGCAAACGGCUCAGUAACACGUAGUCAACAUGCCCAGGGGACGUGGAUAACCUCGGGAAACUGAGGAUAAACCGCGAUAGGCCAUGAUUUCUGGAAUGGUUCAUGGCCGAAAUCUAUAUGGCCCCUGGAUUGGACUGCGGCCGAUCAGGCUGUUGGUGAGGUAAUGGCCCACCAAACCUGUAACCGGUACGGGCUCUGAGAGGAGGAGCCCGGAGAUGGGCACUGAGACAAGGGCCCAGGCCCUAUGGGGCGCAGCAGGCGCGAAAUCUCUGCAAUAGGCGAAAGCUUGACAGGGUUACUCUGAGUGAUUCCCGCUAAGGGGAUCUUUUGGCACCUUUAAAAAUGGUGCAGAAUAAGGGGUGGGCAAGUCUGGUGUCAGCCGCCGCGGUAAUACCAGCACCCCGAGUGGUCGGGACGAUUAUUGGGCCUAAAGCAUCCGUAGCCGGUGCUGCAAGUCUUCCGUAAAAUCCACCUGCUUAACAGUUGGGCUGCG